rnacentral:lncRNA from 1 species
CUUGAUUACAUUUGUGAUCAUAAUCUUCAUUCCUAAAAGAAGAAAUCAAAGUCUUCUUCAUCCAUAUUCAAUAUUCCCUUUGUGUUCUUCGAGUUUUAGAGAAUUCAUACAAGUGCUUAAGUAUUGAUUCUCUACAAGGCUUGAUUACUCCUACAAAUCGUUUGCCGUGAGACCCUUUGAGCAUUAAAAUUAUAUCCGAGAGGGAGCAAAUAUCGUUUGAGAACAGCGAUAUAAUGUUGUGUUUAAACCUUCAUAUUUAUUAUGAUUUUCUUCUUAUUUUCAUCUUCUUGAUUAUUUUUAUAUAUUGUUUCUUUUCCAUUUUCCUUGAUUGAUGCAAAUUUUUGAACAUUUUUUUGCAACAUUUUAUUCAUAUGGUGCCAUCCAUAUGAGCAUUCUAAAGGGGUUCUCCUCUGUACACACAGACUAAUUCCCUCUCUAUCUUUCUUAUUAUCCGUUAGAUUUUUUUUGAAAGAGACUUCUGAAAUGCAGUGUGGUAUCCAAAGCCUUCCAAACUAACCUUAAUUUUCUCUUUUUAAAGAGACGAAGUGACGUCUAGAACGUGUUUUCUUCAUCCUGCUGCGAUUUACAGCAGCUUUCUUCAAACGAGUAAAGUUGUUCAUCUUUAUUCUGUGUUGAUUUUAAAAAAGGAACAUUGAUGGAAAGUUUGAUAUUUUUGGUGAACGGAUUAUAGAGUGUUUGAACUGCACUCGGAGAUAGUGGAGAAGAUAAUGAGUUGCCUUCUCUCUGGGAUCCGCUGCCAUCUAUAUCUAGUUUAAGAAUUUCAUUAAUUUCUUAGUUUCUAUAAUUCGAUCUAAGGUCAUAGUUUUAAUUCUUUUCACUUUUGACAUCUAAUACAGGUCCUAUAGUAGAAGAUAUGUUCCAUUGGCAAGCAAUGAUUAUGAGACCUUCUGAUAGUCCUUAUUCUGGAGGUAUAUUUUUGGUUCUUUUUCCUCCCAAUUACCCUUUUAAGCCUCUGUAGGUAUGCUUGUAUCUUGUACAUUAGUUGUAUAUUACUGCCAAUCUUUGAGUCAUUUGCUCACUUGUAUUCCUUGGGACUCCAUAGUGAAAAGUAGAUAAUUGAGCAGGCAGAUAUCUUUCUUGAUACUAGGUGUUGAAAACCUUCAUAUAUUAUCAGUUUCUAAGCUAAACAUAUUAUUAGGUAGAAUGAUUUACCUUGUCCCCAAGUGCAAUUUUGCAAAUUAAGUUCACACGAGUUCAUUCUCUACUUUUCAGGGUUAUUCUUUUCCCUAUGGUGUCUUGCAAAAUGUUGUCCUGAAAUUUCAACUUCUUUUUCCCUGGAAGUUAAUUCAACUUCUUUCUUGCAGUACAGAAUAGAAUUAGUCACAUGAGUCAUCAAAAGUUGUAGAUAUAAGGCUCUAAUAGCAUGUUUGGCUAACUUGAAAGUUUUAUAAGUAAAUUAGUAAGUUUUAAAUGAAUAUAUUUUGAUCGAUGAUAGUUGAAAAUAACUAGCUUAAAAGUCCCAAAAACGGCUUCGUUUGAGCUAUUUGGAUUGUAUGAAAGAGUCAUCCUAUCAAAAAAGACAAUUAUUUUUUAGAAGAAAAAAGUCUAACGGGUGGCUUAAAGUGAUUUACCUUUUUAAGGCUUAGCCAAACAUGCACAUAUAACUUUGUGGAAACUAAUUCUAGUUUCUUCUUGUUGCUGUUGUAGUGACUAUUUAUUUUUUCUCUCCUGUCAAAUUGUUUUAUUUCUAAUAACACCCUUGCUAAUUCAAACCUUUAAUUUCAAUAUAGCAAACACGAUUAAGCUAUAAUCCUGAUCAUUCUCCAUUUUUUGCAGGUAUGAAAUAUAUAUGACCCAGUACCGAGCAAUAUUUUGUAGUCAAUUGCAAGAUUAUGAGUGAGAAAGUGUCAGAACCAAGCAAUAAACGAAAGUGGAACAAAAAAAGGUUCAAAAUAAAGCAGGUACUGCUGCUGCUGAAACAUUUAAGUGCUGUGCAGUUUGUUCAACAGAUGUGGGAGUAAUAGACAAGGAAGAAGUUUAUCAUUUCUUGAAUGUUUUUCCAAGUGAGGCUUGAUUAAGCAUCCUCUCUGUAUGAAAUUAUCGAUGUGACAAGCGUGAUUUAGUUUAUGAUUGUUGACCUCGAAAAUUGGUCCUUCCACGUGGCCAACUGAAAGCUACUCCACGUAUUCCUCCCUGUGCACAAUCAACGAAUAGUCGGACGCACACGGCCGGAACCAGCGGGGGUGGUGAUGACCGUAUACACUUCGAUGAUCAAAUCAGGUUUAAGUGGUCGGAACAGUACCCAGGGGCUGUGCAAAUCAAUGAUAAAGGGGGAGGAGAAAAUAUAUAAGCUUGCUAUGGAGUGUUGUGUAGUAAGAGUUUCAUUACCUUUGUCUCUUGCCAAACCUUGGGUAUUUAUAGGUGGUAUGAACCGUUGGAUGUGGGACGCGUGUAUACAUCUGACGGUAUGAGGCGUCCGCUCAUAGGCGUCAAUCAGCUACGUCUGUAGAGUGGGCGGACAGUUUGUUUCUUCUGAGUUGAAUUGACAUAAAGUUGAUAAGUCACAUCAACUAGUCUCAUGGAGACGUCAAAUCAAUUUAAACCUUAGGUGCAGGAAGGAUCUUGGCACAAAUCUCUUUCUGAAAUUGGCGGCGGAUCUUCUAACCGGGGUCCACUUGACCUCGACCUCGGAGGCGAGGUGCUUCGGCAGGUCAGUAGUAAGAAUCGAUAUAUCACUUCGGAAACACUUCGGACGGGUCGUUAUCAGGUCGGAAUAUGUGGUGUUGCGAGUUUCAAGGCGUAUAAGAUCAGGGCGUAACAGUAGUCCCCCAAGUCCAGGUAUGAAUAUUUAUAUCAUGCGUGGACUUGCUUUUCUGACCGGACCGCGAGUCAUGGGAGUUUUGGGGCUUGAUCUGUUGCAGUAAUCGAGGUUAUGAUCCCAGCCAGACGUGCCAAAGUUUCGUUACUGUGCGUAACGUACGAGGCGGUCAACUAACAUGGAAUUUCGAGUAAGGUGCGUCGAAGCUUCGUGAAUAUGGUGCCCUGACCCCAUAGACCAACGCGUUGGGAGAUUGCUGAAACUUUGUAAAGCGUGGAAGGGAACGUAGCGUCCGAGGCGAUGACCCAAAGGGGCCAUCGCGUCAGGUGCGUCCAAGCUUUGUAAAGUUGAGGGAGGAGUUCAUCUGCCACCGGUGCGCUGAUCUGCAAGGCCGACGCGUUGGGAGAUGGCUAAAACUUUGUAAAGCAUGGGAGAUAACGCGGCGUCCGAGGCCAUGACCCAAAGGGGCCUUCGCUUCAGGUGCGUCCAAGAUUUGCAAAGUUGAGGGAAGAGCUCAUCUGCCACCGGUACGCUGACCCACAAGGCCGACGCAUUGGGAGAUGGCUAAAAUUUUGUAAAGCAUGGGAGGUAACGCAGCGUCCGAGGCGAUGACCCAAAGGGGCCUUCGUGUCAGGUGCGUCCAAGCUUUAUAAAGUUGAGUGAGGAGCUCGAUCCAAGGCGAUUCAAAUGUCAAAUGAUUUGACAACUGUUGCGUGUUUUCAAGGUGACAAUUGGGUGCCAUGCCCAUUCUCCUAAAAGGCUGUUGCGGCUACUAAUUAUAAUUGACGGCUGGUUGUAACCGAGGCAACUCAUUUCAAGCAAGCGUGAAAGUCACAGCGAUAUCUUGGGCGUAGAUCAAAUCUGGCUUUUCAUUUCAAUGGCCUAGAUUGAAGAUGCGAUGAACGGCCUAGAUUGAUCACAUUUGAAUUCGACGGUGGAGAUCGGAUUUGUCUUUCUAUAAAAGGAGGACUCUGAGGUUUUCUCAGGCUUUCUACCCUUGCGAAACCAACAUUAUAUUUUGCUCUUGAGUCAUUGGCGAUUUUCGACGUUUUCUAAGCAAUUUCGGCGAGAAAAUUAAACUUCCGGCGACCUUACACCGUUUCCAGCUAGGAAAACCUCCAAACUCGUAAAUUCCAGUACCUAUUUAGGCUUUUAAAUUUUGAAAAAAUGGCCUCAGAGGGGAGUUCUGGUUCGGGGAGGGGUUUAGAACUGGUGAGGAUGGAGGAGCCCAUUGUGGCGACCUCCUCAGAAAUAGCUGAGGCAAUAAUGGGAGGGCAAUAAAUGGAAGCGACCGAAUAGCCCAGCAGAUACUUCUGUGCAUUGGGGGACAUCGGAUUACCCGUCCAAAUUAAGAGAGGCCAACCUGGGGAGACUUAGGACAGAGUAUAGGAUCCCUGAUAGCAUAAAUUUCAUCCUUCUCGGGCCGGAAGAGAGAGCCUGCUACCCUAGGUCGAGCUGUGUGGCCAUUAGUGAGGCGAUCCUUAAGGCCAGACUUAGGCUGCCCGUUCACCCAUUCUUUAGGAUGGUGCUUAGGUCCUAUGGGCUAGCCCCGACGCAGCUCAAUCCGAACUCCUAGAGCCAAAUGGUGGGUUCCUGGAUGUUGUGAAAAGAGGCGUCAUUAGGGGUGGAGAUGCCCCUCUCCAUUUUCCAAACCCUUUAUAUACCUAAGGCUACUGCCGGGGGGAUAAGACCCGGGGAUGGUAUUACCUCACUUCAUGGGGUUCCCACACUCCAUUCGUGGUCGAUCUGCCGAGCUCCAUCAAAGAAUGGAAGAGCUCAUGGUGCUGGACUGCAAGGCGAUGGGACACGAUAGAUGGGAACCCCAUGGUGCUUCUUACGGUCCCAACGAAGUAUUCAACACUUAGUGAGUAUAGUAGUAGUUUUUCCUUAUAUUUCUCUUCGGUUCGAAUUGUGUCUAACAGUUACAUUUCCUUUGUAGGUGUUCUUCCUCGGUGCGAGUUGUCAACCGAGGACUUUGACACCCAUCUGUGUCAUUUAUCAGCUGCCUCAAAAGAAGAGGUCUUACCACAGGCUGAUCCAAAAGAACAUCCACUUCAUUACUCACAAUUUAAUGGCAUCCUAAGGUAACUGGACCGAAGUUUUUGCUUUUUAUUCCGAACUCCCAAGACUUGUAUUAAUUCCUUAUUAGGUUUUUUGUAGACAACUUUAAUAAGAAGAUGCCAAUACGCCCCAACUUCAAGACCAUCCAGAAGAUGAUGGCAGAGGCACGGGCGUUGAAGGCCUCCUCCUCCUCGUACAAAAAGCAAAUGGAGGAUUUGGUGGAGCCAGUAAGAGGCUCCAGCCUCUAACGGAGGAGAAGGUACCGGAGGACCCGGAGGCUGACCUUCGAAGGAAGGGCAAGAAGAGUGCCGUCCCUCCAAGGCGCCCAACUGUGGCGAGGCCACCCUCAACUCUGAGGCAGACCACAAUUCCCACCGGGGUGGCCAUCCCAGAGAGAAGGCCCGCUCCAACUGAGCCCGCCACUACCCCGGCUACAAUAACCCUCGCUGCAGUGCCAAUUAACCAAGUGUCGGGGCAGCAGAAGAGGAAAAGGCCCCGUCCCUCUAAGGAGGUCGACUUUCUGGGCACCAAUCUUGAAGAGCCCGUAAGGGAAGUGUUGGAGGCUCUUCCUCUAGAAACAGCUGCGGUGGCAGUGGUCCACAAUAAAUACUGGACAGAGGAGUGGAGGGACCACACCGCCUCCUGCACGACUGAGAAUUUGGUAGCCACAAAUAGCGUUUGCGUGGCUCGGGCCCUGAGUACAAGUAUCUAGUUUGAGGGCUUGGUGAAGGAUCUGAACUCUAAGAGAGAGGACCUCGCCAAGCGCCUCGAGGAGGCGAUGCACUACGGGGAUGCCGUGCGGGCAGCUCAGGCCAAAGCCACGCAGGCAGAGGAGGGGAAGAAAGAUACUAAUGCCUAGCUAACUGCCGCCAAAGCAGAAGUGGAACGACUGAAGAAGGAGUUAUAUGAGGUGGAAUGCCAAGUGACUACUGUGACUCGGCGACUUGAUCACGCCAAUGAGCACCACAAGCUCGCCACCGAUGCUCUGGAGGCCUCCAAUAAAGAGAAGGCAGAGCUGAGGCAGAAGGCAGAGGCCCAGUCAGAAGAGAUUGCCUCUUUGAAGGAGGAGUUGAAGUCUGCAGACCACUUUGAAGACCAUCCCCUGUAUGAUGACUUCGCUAACUUCUGGGCCUCAUGGAGUGCCCAAAGCUUAUUGGGUCGACUGAAAGAGGUGCACCCCACUCUGGACAUCUCUUAAUUGGAGGCAGAGUUUGGGGGGCCAACUGGAGGUCGGCCUGAUAGGCUCGUCGAGGGGGCUCCGGAGGCCCAGGAGGCGGCUAAUGUAGAAGUCCCUCCAGCAGAGUAGGGUUACCUUUUGUAAUGACUUCGGCCUCCUUGUACAUACUCAGUUUGUCGCAUAAGUUUUACAUUUCUGGACAAACUGGCAAGCAUCCCUUUUCAGGGUCGGUCAGAAGUAGCCUUGACGGAGAACCUUGUGUGUCAGAGCCGUUCCUCCGGAGUGAUUUCCACAGAUUCCUUCAUGGACUUUCCUAAGUAUGUAUGUGGCCUUUUCGCCUCUUACGCAUUGAAGAAGCGGCGAGGCAAAGCCUCUCUUGUAAAGGGUAUCUUCUUGCAGGACGAAGUGUACUGCCCUUCUCCUUAAUUUCCUCACCUCGCCUCUGGAAGCAGGCAUUGUUUGCUCCUUCAGGUACACGAUGAUGGGCUACAUCCAUAAUGGGGUGCCUUCUAUCCACAGUAUCUCUUCACCUUCGGAGGUGGAGGACUUUAAUAAGUGCUCAAUAGGGACGAUGUUUAGCAGCUCUGAGUCCAUGCUGCUGGCUAACUUUGAGAGGGCGUCUGCAUGUGCAUUCUCUAGACGGGGGACUUGAGUCAAUUUGAACCUUUAAAAAUGAGGAAUUAUGUCCAGAACCAACUUCAAGUACGCAAUCAUGUUACCAUCUUUGGCUGCAAAAUUUCCAUUGACCUGAUUUACUAUGAGCUGAGAGUCACUGCUCGCCAGGAGCUUCCUGACCCGCAUCUCCUUAGCAAGUCUAAGACCUGCCAGAAGGGCCUCGUAUUCGGCGGCGUUGUUCGAGGCUUUGAAGCCAAACCUUACGGCACAAUUUAGCUUGUGGCCUUCCGGGCUCUCCAAUACGAUCCCUGCCCCUGCGCCAGCCUCUCCUGAGGAUCCAUCUACGAACAGUUUCCAUGUGGGGGGCUCGGCUGGUUCCAUUAUCGCCUCCAUUUCUGGGGUUUUGGCAAACUCAACCAUAAAAUCAGCAAGGGCCUGGCCAUUGAUGGUGUGUCAAGGUCGGAACGUUAGAUCUAACUCACUGAGCUCGAUUGCCCAUUUUAGCAGUCGUCCUGAUGCGUCUGUUUUCUGCAUUACCUGCUUUAGAGGGAAGUUGGUGAGAACUUGUAUUGAGUGGGCUUGGAAAUAUGGCCUCAGCUUUUUUGAGGCUGUGAUAAGGGCGAGUGCCAAUUUUUCCAUGUCUGGGUAGCGUGUUUCAAUUGGGAGAAGUGCUUUGCUGAUGUAGUACACUAGCAAUUGGCGCUCAUUUUCUUCCCUGAUUAGGACUGCGCUGACUGCCACAUUCGAAACUGCUAGAUACAGUAGUAGAGAUUCAUCCGGUUGAGGUUUCGACAAGAGGGGCGCUUCCCCAAGGUGCUUUUUCAGAGCCUCGAAGGCUUUUUCACACUCCGAAGUCCAUUGGAAUUUCUUUCCUUGCUUCAGCACAUUGAAGAAAGGCAAGCUUUUAUCUGUGGCUCUGGAGAUGAAGCGACUGAGUGCGGCUAUCCGACCGUUGUGACUUUAGACCUACUUCGGUUUCUGAGGUGACCUCAUUUCCAGCAAGGCCGUUACUUUCACUAGAUUUGCCUCAAUUCCUCUCUGAUUUACAAUAUACCCUAAGAACUGGCCCAAUGCCACUCCAAAGGUACACUUGAGGGGAUUCAAUUUCAUAUUAUACUUUCUAAGUAUCUGAAAAGUUUGGUCGAUGUGACUCAUGUGUUCGGUUGCCUGGAGGCUUUUGACCAACAUGUCGUCUACGUAGACCUUCAUGGUUUUGCCAAUGAGUUCGGCAAACAUCAUGUUGACUAACCUCUGGUAUGUGGCUCCAGCAUUUUUCAAUUCGAAGGGCUUGACUUUGUAGCAAUGCAGACCCUGUCCGUAAUGAACGAUGUAGCUUCCUCAUCAGGUCGGAACAUGGGUAUCUGGUUAUACCCUGAGUAUGCAUCCAUGAAACUCAGUAGUUCAUGCCCAGCAUUAGAGUCCACAAGUUGAUCUAUUAUUGGAAGUCGAAAGCUGUCUUUGGGGCACGCCUUAUUUAGGUUUGUGAAGUCCACACAUACCCUCCACUUUCUGCUGGGCGUUUUUACCAGAACCGGGUUGGAUAUCCACCUUGGAUAGAUAGCCUCUCUUAUGAAAUCACUGCGGCUAAGUUUGUUUACUUCGUCUUUUAGUACCUCAUACCGUUCCUGAUUUAGGGCACGCCUCUUCUGUCUAUGGGGAGGCAUAGGAGGGUUUGAUGUUAAGGUGAUGGCAACUGAUCCUAGGAUCUAUUUCCAUCAUAUCUUCAUAUUUCCAUGUGAAGACAUCUAGGUUUCCUUUCAGGAAGCAUAUCAUCUCGGCUUUUGCUUCAGGUGACAAUGACUUCCCUAUACGCAAGACUUGACUGGGGUCUUCCGGGUUGACAGGAAAAGUCUCCAAUUCUUCCAUUGGGGUCGCAUUUGGUUCAGAGCCAAUUAUUCGGGGGUCUAACUCAUCAAGAGGGUGUCCUUGUUCAGGGGCCUCUUCCAUGUCGACGUCUCCUUCUUAUUUAGAGGUAUGCUCUUGUUCAGGGGCGUCGAGCAUUUCCACGUCUAUACCGACCUCAGCGAGUACCUCAGUUAGGAUUACAUUAACAGUUUAGGGCUCGGACUUUUGCAGUGAGUUUAGGUAGCAUGCCCUGGAGCCCAUCUAAUCACCUCGGACCGUAGUAAUCCCAUGUUCGAUUGGAAAUUUCAUGCACAAAUAGCGAAUGGACGUCACAGCCCAAAGAUCUUUCAGAGCAGGUCUGCCUAAUAUUCCAUGAUAAGCUGAUCUAUGAUCUACCACCAGAAAUUUAAUGAAGUGCUGGGCCACUAGGGGUGCCAAACCCAUUUCGACAGGCAGGGUGAUCCGCCCUCGUGGGAUGAUGUUGUCCCCAAUGAAUCCGAAUAGUAGGUCGGUCAUGGGGAUUAACCCAUGUUCAAUUUGCAUUUUUUCAAAAGUGGAGCUGAACAAUAUGAUCACGAAAUUAUCAUUGUCAACGAGCAUGCGUUUUAAUCCGUUUCUAGCUAUUACGGCUCUUACAACUAAUGCAUCACAAUGGGGGUGGUGAACUCCCUCUGAGUCUUCCUGGGAGAAGGUGAUUGGGGCAUCCUGUUUGCUGAUUUUGAUUUAUUGACAAUGUAAGUGAUCAUUGAGGGAUCCUUUGCUUUUCUUGUGUAAUUUCUCUGGGCAUUCCUGGUGUUACCACCGACGUGGGGUCCCCCAAUGAUAGUAUCGAUCUCCCUGAUGACCUGGCUUCUAGAAAAUUGGGCUUCGUUCCACUGUCUGGAUUGACCUCGGUCCCUCGAUUCUCUUCUCCGAGGAGAUUGUUCCCUGUGACCUCUCCCUCCCCUCCUCGGGGAGGCGGAUAUGCGAGGGUGUUCGUUCUUGCUGGAAGUGUGCUGGUUGUUUUGAUCAGGGUGUCGAUUGGCAUCACGACACUUACUAGUGUCAUGUCCGUAUAGUUGAUGGAACGUACAAAACCUUGCUCCUUCCAAGGGUCUAUUUGUCCUCUUCUUCUUCUUCUUCUUAUUGUUAUCAGUUCUUCCAGACAGUCCCGCUUCGACAGGGGCAUUAUCAUAUGCUAGCACCGGUACUACAUUCAAUGUGACGAAGCUAGGGCCUGUCCGGAUGUGGGAGCUAUGGUAUGUCCUGCUUGGGUUCAUUGCUGAGUAACAAGGUGUGCUGUGGGUCUUCGACCUACCUACCUCUGAGGAGGAGGGAGUCCCUAUGCGGCACGGUUGCGAUGAUCAAUCAUUUCUUCACUAACAAUUUUCACUCUCAUCAUUUCCACCAGCUCGUCAUAUGUAGAGGAUUCUUGCUGCGCACGCCCCUCCAGAACAAAGUGUUCAUGUUGAGCCCACCCUUCAGAGCUGAAAGGGCUUCUCUGUCAGUGACCUGUUUGCAGUAUGUAAUUUCGUCUGUAAACCUGGCGAGAUAGCUUUUCAGCGUCUCCUCAGGGGCCUGCCUCAUGUUUCGCAGGCGUUGAACUGGUGCUUCUCCUUCCCUACGUGAGAGGUAUUGGUUCAAAAAUGUUUUCUUCAAAUCUGGCCAACUUCUAAUGCUUAGGAGAGGAAGCUUGCUGUACCAUACCUCGGCAACCCCGCCUAGUGUUAAAUGGAAAGCUCUGCAUUUUAAAGCAGGCGAGACUCCCCUCAAGCUCAUCUGUGUCAUGUACUUGGUGAGGUGCUUCUCCGGAUCUCCCUUUCCUUCAUACUUGGGGAUCUUAGGGGGCAUGAAAUUUGCUGGCAUUGGGAAGUUUCGAAUUUCCCUUCAGAAAGGGAGGUUACCAUCAUCAUUGUCAAUCUCAUAAGAUCGACAGGGCCCAUCUGACCCUUCAUCAUCUUGGAUGUCCUGGGGAGGUGGAGGUGCUUCUCCUCGACUUUCCCAAUCGACUAGGUUCCUUCUCUCUCUCCUAUUUUUAGGGGGAGGAGGGGGAGCAUGUUCUUGUUCAUGAUCCGGACGAACUGAUCCUUUUGCUGGGCGGACGAUAUUGCUAAGAUCCUCCCCUAUCUGGUCGAAGACGCUUACCGACCUUUGGUCCUCAUGUUCCUGAGGAAAAUUGUCCUCCAAGCGUGGUUCUGAUGGCUGACUCCCUUGCACAUAAGAUGUAGCUUCGACGUUCAUCUCCCUUUCGAGGGGGCGUUCUGUGUGCCGGUUCAUGUGGCCUCGGGAGUGAGAUAAAGGGGCUUCCCGCACCGGAUAAGAUCCUUGGGGCAUUUGAUAGCCCUGAUGACCCUGGGCUUGCAUGAGGAGUUCCUGCAUCGCCAUAUUCUGAGAUGCUAUGUCUCUCAUACCUGCAGUUAUCUCAGCCAUUCCUUCAGUGAGUAUGGCUGUUCUUCCACCUCGACGAUACCGAUGAUGUGGUCUCUGAUGAGUAAUAUUGUUAUGGAGUACCUCUUCUUCAGAGGCCUCUCUCAGGGGGUUGUCGUCUUCAUGGCUGUAGCUCAUCCUACCUCUUUUUUCAAGGGUAGUGAGAACUUGGAUUGUAACUCGACUUUGUUCUUUUUCAAGAAUGCCCCCUUUUCAGUGUUAGUCGCUAUUUUUUCGGUAACUUCUCCGAUGCAGAACGUAAAACUUCGAAUGGGGAGUCUUUCUCACAGAUGGCGCCAAUCUGUUGACCUCGAAAAUUGGUCAUUCCACGUGGCCAACUGAAAACUACUCUACAUAUUCCUCCCUGAGCACAAUCAACAAAUGGUCAGACGCACACGGUCGAAACCAAAGGGGAUGGUGACGGCUGUAUACACUCCGACGGUCAAGUAAGGUUUAAGUGGUCAGAAUAGUACCCAGGGGCUAUGCAAAUCAAUGAUAAAGGGGGAGGAGAAAAUAUAUAAGCUUGCUAUGGAGUGCUGUGUUGUAAGAGUUUCAUUACCUUUGCUUCUUACCAAACCUUGGGUAUUUAUAGGUGGUAUGAACCGUUGGAUAUGGGACACGUGUAUACAUUUGACGGUAUGAGGCGUCCGCUCAUAGGCGUCAAUCAGCCGCAUCUGUAGAGUUGGCGGACAGUUUGUUUCUUCUGAGUUGAAUUGACAUAAAGUUGAUAAGUCACAUCAACUAGCCUCAUGGAGACGUCAAAUCAAUUUAAACCUUAGGUGCAGGAAGGAUCUUGGCACAAAUCCCUUUCUGAAAUUGGCGGUGGAUCUUCUAACCGGGGUCCACUUGACCUCGACCUCGGAGGCGAGGUGCUUCGGUAGGUCAGUAGUAGGAAUUAAUAUAUCACUUCGGAAACACUUUGGACGGGUCGUUAUCAGGUCGGAAUAUGUGGUGUUGCGAGUUCCGAGGCAUAUAAGAUCGGGGCGUAACAAUGAUCAUGUAAGAUUUAACACCCAAUUAUGUUUGAUUAAUUGUAGACCACUUUGUUUCACUACAGAUGUGGCUAAACACAGAUCGGCUGAUAUUUAAACUGUUUUAGCUUCAUACCAAGGUCAUGAUAUUCCCAAAGAGUUCAUCAAACAAUCUAAAGAGCAUCAAAAGUCAGUUAUCCUCUUCAUUGUAUAUCUCAUUGUCGAUUUUCUAUUGGAAAAGUCAGUUAUCUUCUUCAUCACAUAUGUUAUUGUGGGUUUUCUAUUGGCAUGAGUAGAAUUUUUUUUUUUAAUCCUUUUUGCCUUUUCAUUUGUUUUGUGUUCCAUCUCUAACCAGAUCCCGAGCACAGGAUAGGUGAUUGAGAGAUAAAGCUAGCCUAUACAUUAGAGGAAAUCUAUUAUUACAUGGUGCCACCAUAAAGCGAUAGUGAGACGCAUAUCUUCUUAUUUUUUUCUUCUAUUUAUCUUGUGUAUCAAUAUUUUUAUUAAAUCUUUAAUUUUUGGUGUAAUCCUGGAGCCUUUCCCUUGACAAUCAAGCUUGCCUAGGUACGGCAUAGAAGAGGAAAAGUUUAGGAUUGAGAUUCGAGCAUGAAUUUUUCCCAAUCUGCUCCAUUAUAUGUUUUAUUGUACAAUAUCAAUUGACAUGAGUGAAUUUUCCUUUCUUUACCUAUUCAUUAUUUCCUGCGCUCUUAUGGUGUGGAGGCAAUGAAAGAGAUUAAUAGCAUCAAUGGAUCAUAGAGUUAGUUUUCUUGCUUUCUAAUGUAUUUAGGCUUUUAACUUAAUAGAAAUAGAAGCAUUUUUUUGUUUUUCGGUCUC